ACACUUACCUGGCAGGGGAGACACUAUGAACACGAAGGUGGUCACCCAGGGUGAGGCCCAGCCAUCACACUGCGGCUGUGCUGACCCCUGCCAAUCCCACAAAUGUGGGAAUCUCCACUGCAUAAUUUCUGGUAGUGGGGGGCUGCGUUCACGCUUUCCCCUG